ensembl:lncRNA
CAGAGAGCAGCUGCAGACACACUGCUGACAACAGGCCAGAAUUACAGCAUCAGCAACAUCAGCUCCCAGCACAGCGGACUGUACUACUGCACUGCUCACAACCAGCUGGGACAGCACAACUCUACACCCACACUCCUGGAUGUGAAGGGUAACUCUACACAGACACACCUGGAUGUGAAGGGUAACUCUACACCAACACACCUGGAUGUGUUAGGUGACUCUACACAGACACACCUGGAUGUGUUAAGUGACUCUACACAAACACACCUGGGUGUUUUAGGGUCAGAGGGGAACACAGUGAUAAAAGUCAUCAUGGUGGUACUGGCUGUCUUCCUGGCAUUAACACUAAUCUCAGUAGCUUUGUGGAUGUGGAAGAGGAAGUCGAGCUCAGCUAAUGGCCACAGCAGCACUGGUGAGAGUGGACAGCGUCACUCUCCUGCUGUUUAUGAAAAUGUCCCAGCCUCAAACCUUAGUGGGAGAGUCACCUCAGAUGAUCAGGAUUCCGUUCACUAUGCCAGUGUUGUCUUUAAAAACUCCCACACACAGGAAGUGUCUCCGUCACCCAGACUUCCUCCAGACACCACAGAGGAAGAGGAUGUUCAGUAUGCUGCUGUGAACGUUAGCAGGAGCACUGCUGCCAUCCAGCUUGUGACAGAUGAAGCAGGUGAAGAUUCAUCUCAGAUCUACAGCAAAGUCCAGAAACUCCCCAAAAAACAGAAAGCUGAGAUGUGAUUGUUCUGUUCUGUAUCCAGACUGAACAGGAGAAGAGGGGCGGCUUUGGCAUUUUAUCAGAGUAGCAGUAUCGAUGCUUCAGUAGUGUAUUGUAGUGCUCAUAUUGUAUUGUACACUGUUUUACCUGAACAAUUGUGUAUUCAGGUCAGAAUUUUUAAAAGAAAUAUAGAUUAAGGAUGAAUGUUUUUAAACAUCUGUGUUUUUUCCAUUAUAAUCUGUAUUAAUGUUUUUGACUUAUUCUUCUAUUUUUAUAUUUAUUUUAAUGCUAUUCAAUUGAUACUGCUCUUUUUAUUCGUAGUAUUCUAUCUAUGCUUUCUUUAUAUAUUCUGUGGUUUUUUAGCAAUAACUAUAAAACUUUUUUUUAACGGUAUUACUUAUGGGCCGAUGUAGCAAUAGAUGCUUUCUGCAUCCUUCUGUAACCCGUAGUUCUCUGGUGGAGAGCCAUACCUGGUUCGUAGUUGAAUGUUUCUCCAAGCUGUCUGUCUGCUAAUUUCUUGGUGACUUGGGCUGCACGGUCUAGGUGUUGGUGAGCCUGUUCCCACAUCUACUCACUCUGCUGGAACCAGAAGUCCACAGCGGGUGAGUCCAUGUGGUUGGCGUUCCAUGAGAACAGAGGUGGCUGGUAACUCAAUUCUGGGAAUUCUGCCCAUUGAAGGAAUUGUGCCCAGUUAUUCUGGUUGUCAGCACAGAAAGCUCAUAGGAAGUGUCUAAUCUCCUGGUUAGCCUUGAUUUGGAACUCCACUCCACUUGGAGGUGGUAGCCUGAUGUCAGGCUUACAGAGAUGACCAGUUUUUCCAAGAAAUCCCUUCACACCCGGGUCGUGAAUCUGGGUCCUCCUGGAUGACUGAGCAAAAGUUCUGCCAUUCCAAAGGCUGAUGGCAGUCCGGGGAGAGAAAUCACGAGCAGGGACUUGGAAAACCACUCCACGAUCACCAUGAUGACAGUGUUGUUGUGUGAUGCGGGAAGAUCGGUUAUGAAGUCUAUCGUUAGGUUUGACCAUGGUCUUAGGGGUGUAGGUAGUGGGAGGAGCUUGCAGUGUGUGCGUGAUACUUUGGCUUUAAUGCAGACUGAGCAGAAUGAGAUGAAAUGGUGAAGGGGAGAGGGCACAAAUUUCUUUCCCCCUUUUCUAGCAGGGUGGCUAGUAGAGACGCUGUACUCCUAAAGCCACGUAUGAAGUGUCAGAUUUAGUGAAGCCCAUAAAACGUAACUCUUUAACUGUGGUGGGUUCUGACCAAUAGGCCAUAGGGGCAAUGAGGAGGGAGGCCACUUGCCUUGAUCACUUGGGCUGUGGUUUCCGUGUUUUCAUUGGAUGUAGAGGCCACAUUGACUGAGGGAGUGAGGAGACGUCAUGAUUUCAUGCUCCUUCCAUGAGAUUUGGUGGUUGUGGGCCUGCAUCCAUGGGAAACCCAGCAUCACUGGGAACUUAGUUGUGAAGGUUAUGGUGAGAGUGACUUUGAGGGUGAAGGGUUCUGUGCAUUGGAUGACUGACCCACCUCCAAUGGGUCCUCCCGAGCACUGCAUAAUCUGUUGCUGAGAAUAACCCAAGUAGAAGUACAGCCUUUCAACGCCUUUUCCAUUCCACAUAGGCAAAUUUAUUCUGGACUAGUAGUAUGGGUUCUGUGGCCUGGAUCUUGGGGACUGGAAUGGCAGUCACCGUCAGUCUGUUCCUGAUUAGGGUGUCGAGACAAAUGGACAUAUUGUUCAAGGAUUCGAGGAUAACCUGAUCCAUUGUGAACAUGCCAGAUCGGUGAGUAUCUCCUCAAUGAGCCAUCAACAAUAGGUGACUUUGAG